GAUGAACGCUGGCGGCGUGCCUAAUACAUGCAAGUCGAGCGAACGGACGAGAAGCUUGCUUCUCUGGUGGUAGCGGCGGACGGGUGAGUAACACGUGGAUAACCUACCUAUAAGACUGGGAUAACUUCGGGAAACCGGAGCUAAUACCGGAUAAUAUUUUGAACCGCAUGGUUCAAAAGUGAAAGACGGUCUUGCUGUCACUGAUAGAUGGAUCCGCGCUGCAUUAGCUAGUUGGUAAGGUAACGGCUUACCAAGGCAACGAUGCAUAGCCGACCUGAGAGGGUGAUCGGCCACACUGGAACUGAGACACGGCCCAGACUCCUACGGGAGGCAGCAGUAGGGAAUCUUCCGCAAUGGGCGCAAGCCUGACGGAGCCACGCCGCGUGAGUGAUGAAGGUCUUCGGAUCGUAAACCUCUGUUAUUAGGAACGAACAUCUGUGUAAGUAACUGUGAACAUCUUGACGGUACCUAAUCAGAAAGCCACGGCUAACUACGUG
rnacentral:rRNA from 1 species